GGGGUUGUGGCUCAGAGGAAGAGCACUCGCCUAGCAUGCGUGAGGCAUUGGGUUUGAUCCUUAGCCCCA
rnacentral:tRNA from 1 species